AUAUAAUAAUUAUGUGGUUUGCUCAUACAUCAUUUUAGCUUUUUAAUUAGCAUAUCAUAGUUUAUGAGAACUUUAUAUUUUGUUCAACAGUUUAAUAAGGACUCCAUCCGGCUUUUAGUUGGCUUCAGAGUCUCUCCGCAUUUAGUAAAUAAUUUUAUACUGUUGUAAAUAAUGCAGAGUUGCUUUUCUGCAAUAAAAUCAAAGUUUUAUUCUCGGAUUCGACAAUUUCAUGUCGUUAUGCCACCAAAGUCUCAAUAAAUUAAUAGAAUAUUUCACCGUGUUAUGAUAUUACGAAUGACAUUAAUCGUGUUGUCAUUUCGUACAAACCGGUUUUGAGCAUAUAUUCCAUUAAAAAAUCGACAAUGGUCACUUAUAUUCUUUAAUUAUAAUUGAAAUUAAUUAUUAAACUUUGACUAGUUAA
rnacentral:lncRNA from 1 species